rnacentral:lncRNA from 1 species
AAAAUCAGAGAUGGAGGCCUUUUAUGCCGGAACUUCUUUGCCGGAGAGACAGAGACGGAGACGGAGUGAAUGAUGAAUAUGCCGUUCGAGAGGAUUUGGUUUUCCUAAUGAGGAUGGACUCUUGGGUUGCCAGCAUUUAACAGCGCCGAAUCCCGAGGGUCUCAUAACCGUCGGUUUGAAAUUCAAAUGGAGGGGGGGAUUUCUGCCAC